rnacentral:rRNA from 1 species
GUGACGAUGCGACGCCGCGUGAGCGAAGAAGGCCCUAGGGUUGUAAAGCUCUGUCGAGGGUUAUGAAAUAUAGAUGGGUUAAUACCCCAUUUAUUUGACAAAAGCCCAAAAGGAAGCCACGGCUAACUCUGUGCCAGCAGCCGCGGUAAUACAGAGGUGGCGAGCGUUGUUCGGUAUUAUUGGGCGUAAAGAGCACGUAGGUGGUUUUGUAAGUCAGGUGUGAAAGCCUUCUGUUCAAAGGAAGAACGGCAUCUGAAACUGCAGAUCUUGAGUGUAGGAGGGGAGAGUGGAACUUCUGGUGGAGCGGUGAAAUGCGUAGAUAUCAGAAGGAACGUCGGCGGCGAAAGCGACUCUCUGGCCUAUUACUGACACUGAGGUGCGAAAGUUAGGGGAGCAAACGGGAUUAGAUACCCCGGUAGUCCUAACCGUAAACGAU